rnacentral:rRNA from 1 species
GGGAUGACACAGUUGGAUAAGCUAAGCACACUGUUGGUUAUGUGUGCCCAAGCAUUGAGGCAGUCAAAGUAGGCAAAUCCGCUUUGAUAAUGCUGGGAUGUGAUGGGGAGCGACAUUUAGUAGCGAAGUAGCUGAUUUCACACUGUCAAGAAAAGUCUCUAUCGAGGUUAAAGGUACACGUACCGCAAACCGACACAGGUGGGUGAGGAGAGUAUCCUCGGCCAGCGAGAGAACUGUUGU